rnacentral:rRNA from 1 species
UACGUAGGUGGCAAGCGUUAUUCGGAUUUAUUGGGCGUAAAGGGCGUGUAGGUGGUCUGAUAAGUCAGGUGUGAAAGCCCCUGGCUCAACCAGGGAAGUGCAUUUGAAACUAUCAGACUUGAGUACGGGAGGGGGAAGUGGAAUUCCUGGUGUAGAGGUGAAAUUCGUAGAUAUCAGGAGGAAUACCGGUGGCGAAGGCGACUUCCUGGACCGAUACUGACACUGAGACGCGAAAGCGUGGGGAGCAAACAGG